UCUCUCACUCCCAAAACCGACGGCCUCUCUCUCUCUCUCUCUCUCUCUCUCUCUCUCUCUCUCUCUCUCUCCCCGCCCCCCAUUCCAUCCUCCCAAAACCGACAACCUAUAUCUCACUUUAAAUGCUAGAGGAGAGAGCUCCCCUUUGGAAUUGCAGGAUCCGACCCAGCAGCAUCCAAAACUGCCUGCAGGUUGGCUGGAACACAGCUUUGAGAAGAUCCAACUAGUAGGGGAUUCCAAUUGGAUUUGUGCUUUAAAAUUUUUAUUAUUAUUUAUCAUUAGUAUUUUUCUUCAAUAUUCUAUUGUCUAGUUUAGCGUCAAUGUUUUGUCUGCCUUCUUCUUUUCCUAAAUUUAUAACUGGAUAUUGUGAUACGUUGGCAUUAAGGCUUUAGAUGACGACGACAAUGAAGGACUGGAUUUUGUGACUACUUGAGAAUCUACUUUUAGAGAUUGUUGAAUGAUGAUGCUGUCACAAGAUAGAAUUAGGAGGGGGCUUAGAUCUUGGAAGGUUGGAAAGGCAUAUGUAUUAUCAUACAUCAUUAGGAAGGGUUGAGAAGUUUCUAGCGAUUUUAGAGGAUAAUGCUGGUUGAUGCUUCAGUUGUUUUAGUAUUUCCAAAACAGCUAGAAGAGAUAGAGUGCAUCCUAGAGACAUUUGUAUCAGACUGAAUUGAUGGUAGGAUUGAAUGUCAUUAAAACAUCUCAAUAGGCCCUGCAUGUCAAUUUGUAUGUUCAGCUUAUCCUAGAGACAUUUGUAUCAGACUAUGAAUUGAAUUGGCUCUAAUGAUCCUAGCUUUCUUUCACUGUUUGGAUUUUUAGAAUUUAAUGCUAGAUGGCAUGUAUUUUAGAUUUGAUGGGUUCCAUAUUAAUGAAGAUUAUAGAUGCAAAAACUGGAAAGGAGGAACAUGUUACAAUUUCUGUUGAUGAUGGAAUUCGACCGAACACAUCAUUGUCUGAUUUAGCAAGGCUCAAACAUGCAUUUAAGGAGGGUGGAUUUCAACAGGUUGUUGAGGUCCAUGAUUUCAACAGUCUGAUUCAAGUAACCAUUUAAGGAGGGUGCAAAAAUUACCAUCACUGAACCCAGACCUGGAGCAACAGAGACUGUGAUUAUAAUAUUUGGAACACCUGAGCAGACAUGCUGCACAGAGUCUUCUUCAAGCAUUUGUACUGAGUGAACAGGGCACUCCUUGACUUGUUGCAUUGGACUGGUCUUUGUGACAGUGCUAGCAGGUUGGAUGGAAAAUAAACAUUACUUCCCAAGAUGUUCUUAAUGAUGCUUAUUCAAAGUGGAAGUAACUAUAUAGAGUGUAGGCUCAGGGGUCCACAAUGCUUACAUGGAUGCAUGAUCAAAGCUGCUCAUUAGGUACAAGCCACUAUAUGGCUUUCCUUGUGCUGAAUUCAGGUCCAUCCACAUUGAGUUGCAUGCUAGUUAAUGCUUCUAUAAAAAUACUC